UACGGGGGGAGCAAGCGUUGUUCGGAUUUACUGGGCGUAAAGGGCGCGUAGGCGGCCACGACAAGUCACUUGUGAAAUCUCCGGGCUUAACUCGGAACGGUCAAGUGAUGCUGUCGGGCUAGAGUGCAGAAGGGGCAACUGGAACAAACGGUGGAGCGGUGAAAUGCGUAGAUAUCGUUUGGAACGCCAAAGGUGAAAACAGGUUGCUGGGGUUGUGCCGACGCUGAGACACGAAAGCCAGGGGAGCAAACGGG
rnacentral:rRNA from 1 species